rnacentral:rRNA from 1 species
UACAGAGGGGGCGAGCGUUAUUCGGAAUUAUUGGGCGUAAAGCGCGCGUAGGCGGCUUUGUAAGUUAGAGGUGAAAGCCCGGGGCUCAACCCCGGAACUGCCUUUAAGACUGCAUCGCUUGAAUCCAGGAGAGGUGAGUGGAAUUCCGAGUGUAGAGGUGAAAUUCGUAGAUAUUCGGAAGAACACCAGUGGCGAAGGCGGCUCACUGGACUGGUAUUGACGCUGAGGUGCGAAAGCGUGGGGAGCAAACAGG